UACGUAGGGUGCAAGCGUUAAUCGGAAUUACUGGGCGUAAAGCGUGCGCAGGCGGUUUUUUAAGUCUGACGUGAAAUCCCCGGGCUCAACCUGGGAAUUGCGUUGGAGACUGCAAGGCUGGAGUCUGGCAGAGGGGGGUAGAAUUCCACGUGUAGCAGUGAAAUGCGUAGAGAUGUGGAGGAACACCGAUGGCGAAGGCAGCCCCCUGGGUCAAGGCUGACGCUCAUGCACGAAAGCGUGGGGAGCAAACAGG
rnacentral:rRNA from 1 species